GUGGGGAAUCUUGCGCAAUGGGCGAAAGCCUGACGCAGCCAUGCCGCGUGAAUGAUGAAGGUCUUAGGAUUGUAAAAUUCUUUCACCGGGGACGAUAAUGACGGUACCCGGAGAAGAAGCCCCGGCUAACUUCGUGCCAGCAGCCGCGGUAAUACGAAGGGGGCUAGCGUUACUCGGAAUUACUGGGCGUAAAGGGCGCGUAGGCGGACAGUUUAGUCAGAGGUGAAAGCCCAGGGCUCAACCUUGGAAUUGCCUUUGAUACUGGCUGUCUUGAGUACGGGAGAGGUGAGUGGAACUCCGAGUGUAGAGGUGAAAUUCGUAGAUAUUCGGAAGAACACCAGUGGCGAAGGCGACUCACUGGCCCGUUACUGACGCUGAGGCGCGAAAGCGUGGGGAGCAAACAGGAUUAGAAACCCUGGUAGUCC
rnacentral:rRNA from 1 species